AAUAAAUAAAUAAAUAAAAGUAAUAAAAUGACUUUUUAUGAGACAUUUGUAAAGACCUAGCACAAUGUAUAAAGAUGCAGGAGUCAUUCAUUCAUUCCACAAACAUUCACUGUUUUUUAAGUGUCAAGUAAUGUGCUAGGUGCAGGUAUAUAGCACUCAAUAGAAUGUGAGGUUCUUUUCUUGCAAGUUUUGGAUGUUCUCAUGUUUCUAAUAUUCUGUAUAGUGCUGUUUCUUCCCCACCCUGUUCUCCUUUGGUCAAAAUAAUUUUUCUCUGAAUUCCUUCUUUAAGGCCUGCUAAGUAGCAUUGAGUGGUGGUUAACAGCAUGGGCUUAAGCCAGACUUACAAGGUUUGAAUCCUGGCUCUGCCAAUUUUUAGCUGUGAGACACUGGGUUCUGUGAGACAGGAACAGCACUGUGUUGCUUUUUGCCACCCUGCUUGCCAUCUCUGGAGUUUUCUACUCACCUCAUACAAAGCCAGUUGGUCACCUCGAGUCAUCAGUCCAGUCUUAUGCCAGCCAAGAAUAUUGAAAAGCUCUAGAAUGGGGGCAUACUUGGUGUCCUCACUGGGAAAAAAAAAAAGCCAGUCCUUUCAAGAAGUGAACACACAAGGCCGCUGUUCCCCAGAGAAAGGGCAGGACCAAACCAUGAAAUACAUUUCUUGUCUUCUGGCUUGUUGUUUAAAUCUUCAUUUUGUCUCAUUUCCAUAAAUUCUUUCGAAGGUCUGAGACUCAGGAAACCUGGGACCUUUUCCCAAUUUUAGUCUUCUAGCUUGAAUGUAAUGAUUUAAUGUGAUUGUCCAGGAAUAAGAAUGAAACAAUUCCAAUUCUAUAUACACUAUAGAAAUAAUGGUGAGGUUUCCAAUUUAUUUUGUAAAGUUAACAUAAACAAAUAUACACACACAUACACACAUGCACAGACAUAAACACACACCCCACAGGCUAGACCGGAUUAGUUUGACUUAAGUUAUUUAUAUGGAAUUUAUAAACUUACAUCCUAAAUGGAAUAUGACUAAAUCUAACCUAUCAGUACAAUAUAUUAAUAAUAUUCCAUUACCAAGAAGGGCUUGGCCCAGAAAUGCAAGGAUGAUCAAUAUUUUAGAAUCUAUUAAUACUAUAUACAAUGUCUGUUUGGUACAUAGUAUAGUCCUAGUAUCUAACACAAUGACUAGCAUGCAGUAGAUAAUAAGUAUUUGUUGAAUGACUAAAUGAAUAUUCAUUAUCCACUAUCAAUAAUCCGUUUGAAAAUAAAAUGAGAAGAUCCCAUUCAAGUAGCAAUUAUAGCAAUUCUAUGUAAUUAUAUAAAAAUGCAUAUGUGUGUGUGUGUAGGUACAUGUAUAUGUAUCACCCAGGAAUAAACCUAACAAAAUGUAUUUAAGAUCUACUUGAAGGAAGGAGCAAAAUUUUACCAAGGUACAUAAAAGGAGAUAAAUGCAUGUACAACAAUGUGACUAUAGUUAAAAAUACUAUAUUGUAUACUUGAAAUUUGCUAAGAGAGUAGAUCCUAAAUGUUCUUAUCACAAAAAGAAAAGAAAAGAAAAUGUUGACUAUGUGAAGUGAUGCAUAUGUUAACUACCUUCAUUUGGUGAUAAUUUCACAAUGGAUAUGUAUAUCAAAUCAUUAAGCUAUACACCUUAAAUAUAUACAGUUUUAAAUGGUCAAUUCUACUUGAGUAAAGAUGGAAAAAGAAAAGAAAAUAUCUCCAAAAUGAUCCUGAAAACAAAAAAUGUAAUGUUUUUUUCUUUUAA